rnacentral:lncRNA from 1 species
UUUAGACCCCGAGCUCUGUGAUCCUACAGCCGUUGACUCAACCCGAUCUUUGGGUUAAAAAUAGAGCUUCCAUUGAAAUUCCAACACCCCAGAUUAUAUGAAACAAAGAAAAAUGAUAAGGAUUAGUAUUUGAUCAAAUAAGGAGUACAGGGGAAAAUACAAAUUAAGGGAGAAAAUAUGUUGAAUGAGCAUUUCAUUAAGCAAAGCAUGUGUUUUAAAUUCCAUGGAUAUAUUACUUUAAGAAAGUUAUCCUUUUUGGCCAAGGCAAAAACAAGAGUGCAACAGAUAAAGGCUAACCUAUUUCUAAAAAAAAUGCUCAUUUGGAUCAGCCGUAAAUUAGCUAAUCACUCUUUCUAAGCAAACUAACAUCGUGACCUUUCAACGGUGAAAUUACAAAUGGGACGAGAUUCUAAUUGAAUGAUACUUUGAUACAUUUAACUAUAUUAGUAAGUAGAAAAUCUUAUGAGCCCCAAUAUAUUAAUGCGUACAUUUAAAUUCUUCUUAAGGAAUCACAGAUAGGGCUAGCCAACCAUUUUUUAGAAGUCUAAUACAUACGAUAGUUCAUACAAUAAUUCCACACAAGAUGCAAACAAACUCUUCAACAUACUGCAAAGGCAGACAAGAUAAAGAUUCAAAGGUACUAUUUCAUUCUGUGAACAUUCCAAAUCAAAGCUUUCAACGUGUUUUGUAAAACAUAUCUCAAUAUCGUCUUUAUUUAUUAUUUUGAAAGAAUAUUUAGCUAAAAAGAAAAUGCAUACAACAACCACACGCACAGGUUUAUACUUUAGAUAGAGGGAGAUGAGAUAGUAGAGGGAUACUAAAAAUAUAGAUCAGAUUAAUUAGUGGCCUGUUCGUGCUAUGCCAAGUUGUGACAUUUUCAAGCCAUUGUUUCAUCAAACAAUACUCAUUCUCACAAGAAUGUCAAGCAAAUAAGAGGGGAAAACAAGUUGUCAAUUCAGAAUCGAACCAUACAAUGGCCAAAAACUAACAAGUUUUUUGCAAAACUUUGUUCAUUCCAAAUGAAAGGAUGAUGUAAACACAAGGCAACCAAGGUUCUAAAUUUAGGAUCAAUAGAAAAUAGAGGUUUUACCACAUAUCUUAUUCUUUAUAUAGCCAUGUAUCCAGAAUAGUACACAAUCAAGAUAACUCUAUAUUGCUAAUACACAACAACAAAGAAGUAAAAAUGGAGUAGGAAUUAAUUCACGCAGCCAUUCCAAGCACAAAGGAGAAAUGCGAGUAAGAAACAAGACGAAAGCUCACCUUGUGUUGGGCAGCAAUCCUGGGGCUUCAGCGUUAAGAUUCAGAUGAAUAACUCAAACUUCGAGGAAUUGACCUUAGACCAACAACAAUAAAGACAUAUAAUAAUUUAGUGACCUUACUACGUCAAUUCGGAGUGUUCACUCUAUAUUUUCGAACUUGUUCUCUCCUUCCAAAAAACUUCUGCCCCCUUCGAAAUAGGUAAAAAUGUGGGUAUUUAUAUGCUAAUCCGGACUUGAAAGUCUGGAUUUGAAACCAAAAAUUCAAGGAAACCAACGGCCAAAUCAAAUGGAUGUAUUUGAAAUUCAAAAAGUUUAAAGAGACAACUCACUUCACGAUUUUGAACAAUUUUUGUGUCUUUAACUUGGAUUUGAAAUCGAAUUUCGUUGUAUCACCGAUUAGGAACUGAUUUUCGCUGAUUUGUUGAAAUAGCGGAUUAGAAAGGCUGAAAAUAUGAUGAAUCUUUGUAGUACAGGCGGAUGGUCAGAUAUGGUGGAUUAGGGUUUAGAUUUUGGGUAUAGAGUAGAUGAGGAAGAUGGAGAGAGAGUGAAAGAUUGAUUGUUUCUUUAUGCA